rnacentral:misc_RNA from 1 species
UUUCCGUAGGUGAACCUGCGGAAGGAUCAUUAGUGAAUUGAAUAUCUGAGCGGUCCGGGCCGGAGUCCUCAGUAUCAAAUCAUGUUCAUAACACCUGUGUACUGUUAGGCGGCCUUGAAUACGGAAGCAGUCAGAGCCCCGGCCCACUUUGUACAGACAUUAAAGUAACAAACGUAGUUUUAUUAUAAGCUAAUAAAACUUGCAACAACUGAUCUCUUGGCUCUCGCAUCUAUUCAGAACGCAGUAGAUCGGAAGAGCACGAGAGUGAACUCCAGUGAA